AGCAUAGCGAUUUGGGAUAAGUCCCUUGGAAAGGGGCAGCAUAGAGGGUGAUACUCCCGUCUUUGCCCAGGUUGUCUAUGUGUACGAUACGUUUUCUUUGAGUCGAGUUGUUUGGGAAUGCAGCUCAAAGUAGGUGGUAAAUUCCAUCUAAAGCUAAAUAUAGGUGCAAAACCGAUAGCGAACAAGUACCGUGAGGGAAAGAUGAAAAGAACUUUGAAAAGAGAGUUAAAGAGUACCUGAAACUGUUGAAAGGGAACCGUAACAUGUCCAGUGUUUUAUCUCUUAUAUAUUUCAUUAGUACAGCAAUGCACUGGUGCCCUGUAUAAGAGUGUGACGUCAAAAUCAGUUUGUAUAUUGCGGGAGAUGGUUAAUAAGGAGGUGCGUCACUUUUGUGUCAGUUAUACCUUGUUAACUAGUUGCCGUGGUUGAGACUGAGGUGCC
rnacentral:rRNA from 2 species